UACGGAGGGUGCAAACGUUGCUCGGAAUCAUUGGGCGUAAAGCGCACGUAGGCGGUCCAGCAAGUCGGGUGUGAAAGCCCUCGGCUUAACCGAGGAAGUGCAUUCGAAACUACUGGACUUGAAUACUGGAGAGGAUCGCGGAAUUCCCGGUGUAGAGGUGAAAUUCGUAGAUAUCGGGAGGAACACCAGUGGCGAAGGCGGCGAUCUGGACAGUUCCUGACGCUGAGGCACGAAGGUCAGGGGAGCAAACGGG
rnacentral:rRNA from 1 species